CCCCUUGCAGGAUCGCACCUGGAGAGUUUCCAGUCCUCUACCAGUCUCUACCGUGGGAGGUAGAGUCAAGCAGAGGCCUACCCAUUCCAUUCCUAGCUUGAGCAGUGGCUAGCGAGUGGAAGGCAACCUGCUACAAGU